rnacentral:rRNA from 1 species
UGAGUGGAGGUACCCUAUCACGCUGUGAACAUACCACUUGUUGCCUCGGCGGAUCAGCCCGCUCCCGGUAAAACGGGACGGCCCGCCAGAGGACCCCUAAACUCUGUUUCUAUAUGUAACUUCUGAGUAAAACCAUAAAUAAAUCAAAACUUUCAACAACGGAUCUCUUGGUUCUGGCAUCGAUGAAGAACGCAGGCAAAGAUGCGAUAAGUAAUGCUGAAUUGCAGCAACUUCAGUGAAUCAUCGAAUCUUUGAACGCACAUUGCUGCCCGUCCAGUAUUCUGGUCGGGCAUGCCUGUUCGAGCGUCAUUUCAACCCUCAAUGCACAGCUUGGUGUUGGGACUCGCGUUAAUUCGCGUUCCUCAAAUUGAUUGGCGGUCACGGUCGAGCUUCCAUAGCGUAGUAGUAAAACCCUCGUUACUGGUAAUCGUCGCGGCCACGCCGUUAACCCCAACUUCUGAAUGUUGACCUCGGAUCAGGUAGGAAUACCGUUACUUAAACUUUUUCAUUAGCGGA